ACCUGUUCCAGCCUGGCAUGAGAGACGUGGCGCCAGCUGUUUCCCUCCGUGAGCUGCUGCCAUGGCGAAGUCGGCGAUGCUGUGGUCAGCUGCUCCGGUGACACGCGCUGGGACAGUGUUGGCAGUUCUGGUCCAGGACUCUGGCACCUCAAUCACUCAAAGUGUUCCCAGAUGCUCAUGGGGCUGUUGGUUACCUGUGAACACAACAUCCCUUUAUAAUGAGGACGCUCAUGCAAACGGAGACUCAGAGAAGUCUAGCGGCCUCCCCGCCCCUCGGGCCUUCCCUACGUUUGAUGGAGUAAAUGAUGGAGGGGAAACAUAUGCGUUCCAGAUUGGACCCGAAGUGCUGGGCUUGGAGAGGCGGCCUGCUUCCAGCGGCAGCCGAGGGGAGGUGGGGGAGCUGUGCAAGUAUUUGUUGUUCCCUUGGGGCUAAUUAUGGCCUUUUAGAGGCAAGUAGCCGCCCCAAUUUCGGUUAGCACAGUUGUUCGUUACUGCAUAAUUAAGAGGAAGGGGGAGCAGCCUUGCUGGGGAGCAAGGCAAAGAGAAGACCAAAUGCAAAUAGCUUGAAU
rnacentral:lncRNA from 1 species